CUACGGAGGGUGCAAGCGUUACUCGGAAUCACUGGGCGUAAAGCGCGCGCAGGCGGGCUGAUAAGUUGGAUGUGAAAGCCUACGGCUCAACCGUAGAACUGCAUCCAAAACUGUCAGUCUAGAGUGUGGGAGAGGAAGAUGGAAUUAGUUGUGUAGGGGUAAAAUCCGUAGAGAUAACUAGGAAUACCAAAAGCGAAGGCAAUCUUCUGGAACACUACUGACGCUGAGGCGCGAAGGCGUGGGGAGCAAACAGGAUUAGAAACCCCAGUAGUCC
rnacentral:rRNA from 1 species